GCACAUAUUUAAAUGGUCCCAUCUCAAUAAUUCAGCUUUCAGUAAUCAAAUUAUUUUCCUUUAUCAUUCAGUUCCUUAUUAUUAACAGAAUUAUAUUUUCACAGCCAUGAAAUUUGAGCACUAGCUACCGUUUUCAGUCCCUUAAUUGCUGGUCUUGAAGCUAACGGACAAAUGGUUAAGGAGAAAACUAGGUUAGGCAGACAACCAAAUAUAACAUCAAAUCCAUAAUGAACAAGAAGCAAAAGAACUACUUAAUACAUGUAGUCUCUCUUACAGUGUUAAAGCACACACCAAAGUACUAAGGUAAGAAGAAAAUUUGCUUGGUUGCGCAAAAGACACAGAAAAAGAAAUAAAGUCUUGGGAUAUUCUAACAUGAAACUGUAGAGUUUUAUUUUCAUUCUAGUUUUUCCUCCAUAUUCUUGGCAACCAAACAAGGAAACCAAAGAAGAAAGACGAAAAGGCGAGAUGUAAUUGAAAGCCAAGCAUCAGACUUGCCUAGAGGUUGGAUUUCCUCAAAUGAAGUCACCUUCCAAGUUAUGGAUCUUCAGGCCACAGCUUCAAGCCUAAUUCAGUAUACCAUGGAGCAAUAUUCUCCUUAAACAUGGAUGAAAGGUGACAUCUUAGUGAUCUUCUUCUCAUCUUCAAGAGUUCCAUCUUCUUCUUCCUUCUUCAACUCUUAAGAUGACCAAGAACCCAAGCAGUCCUAUAAUAUAAAAGAAAAAAGAAAGAAAGAAAAUUUAGUCAAGAAAAAGAAGAAGAGGAUAUUAUUUUUACCAUUGAUUUUGAAGGUGCUGGGUAUAUGUAUAUAUAUAUAUAGAGAGAGAGANNNGAGAGAGAGAGGAGAGUAAAUAGACAAAAGAUAGAGAAGUUCUUAGUUCUUGGUACUGAAGAUGGAGGAGACAACAAGUGAUCCUAUUGAGAAAUAAUGUACAUGUGUGAGGGUCUACUUCACAUGUUUGUAUGUUGCUGUAAUGGUGAUGAGAAAAAUAAAAAUAAAAAUAAAAGAUAAG
rnacentral:lncRNA from 1 species